GCGGUAAGGCACCGGUUUUUGAUACCGGCAUUCCCUGGUUCGAAUCCAGGUACCCCAGCCA
rnacentral:tRNA from 3 species